UAGAGUUUGAUCAUGGCUCAGGACGAACGCUGGCGGCGUGCUUAACACAUGCAAGUCGAGCGGAAAGGCUCCUUCGGGGGUACUCGAGCGGCGAACGGGUGAGUAACACGUGAGUAAUCUGCCCUCCACUUCGGGAUAACUGCCUGAAAGGGUGGCUAAUACCGGGUAUUCUCCUUGCACCGCAUGGUGUGGGGUGGGAAGUUUUUUCGGUGGGGGAUGUGCUCGCGGCCUAUCAGCUUGUUGGUGGGGUAAUGGCCUACCAAGGCUUUGACGGGUAGCCGGCCUGAGAGGGUGACCGGCCACACUGGGACUGAGACACGGCCCAGACUCCUACGGGAGGCAGCAGUGGGGAAUAUUGGACAAUGGGCGGAAGCCUGAUCCAGCAACGCCGCGUGAGGGAUGACGGCCUUCGGGUUGUAAACCUCUUUCAGCACAGACGAAGCGCCUGKGAAGGUGGUGACGGUAUGUGCAGAAGAAGCACCGGCCAACUACGUGCCAGCAGCCGCGGUAAUAC
rnacentral:rRNA from 1 species